rnacentral:rRNA from 1 species
GAUGAACGCUGGCGGCGUGCCUAAUACAUGCAAGUCGAGCGAACAGACGAGGAGCUUGCUCCUCUGACGUUAGCGGCGGACGGGUGAGUAACACGUGGAUAACCUACCUAUAAGACUGGGAUAACUUCGGGAAACCGGAGCUAAUACCGGAUAAUAUAUUGAACCGCAUGGUUCAAUAGUGAAAGACGGUUUUGCUGUCACUUAUAGAUGGAUCCGCGCCGCAUUAGCUAGUUGGUAAGGUAACGGCUUACCAAGGCAACGAUGCGUAGCCGACCUGAGAGGGUGAUCGGCCACACUGGAACUGAGACACGGCCCAGACUCCUACGGGAGGCAGCAGUAGGGAAUCCUCCGCAAUGGGCGAAAGCCUGACGGAGCAACGCCGCGUGAGUGAUGAAGGUCUUCGGAUCGUAAAACUCUGUUAUUAGGGAAGAACAAAUGUGUAAGUAACUAUGCACGUCUUGACGGUACCUAAUCAGAAAGCCACGGCUAACUACGUG